CUAGGGCCGCUCCCGUGGCAUAUGGGGGUUCCCAGGCAAGGGGUCUAAUCCGGCCUACACCACAGCCACAACAACGCGGGAUCCGAGCCGCAUCUGGAACCUAUACCACAGCUCAUGGCAACACCGAAUCUUUAACCCACUGAGCAAGGCCGGGGAUCGAACCCUCAACUUCAUGGUUUCUAGUCCGUUUCAUUAACCGCUGAGCCAUGACAGGAACUCCUCUGUUUAUCUCCAUGACACUGACCCACCACACCUGCCUGUCAUUGUCCACAUUCCUCCUCUCUCUACCUGUCAGUCAAGAAGGAACGCUAUGAAGGGGCUGACCACUGUUGACCAGUUCAUCCUAGGAAAUGUCCCUCUCCCUUUAUUGAGUGCCCUGUGAUGAUGAGUGCUAGAGAGAUCAGACCCUAAACCCCAGGAGAGGAAAGUCACAUUGGACCACACUUUAAAGAAGUUAACAUUUAGCCAUUAGCUCACCUCAACUUUGACCUUCCCCAGAAUCUCCUUGUUUCUGGGACGGACACUCCCAACAUCCCUGGAACCACCUUGCUGGGUCUUGGGAUUAAUAUUUACGAGUUAAAAGAAGGAUGUGCAAAUGUAUAUAUAAUUUAAUACAUUCUCGCAGGUUUGGUGAAAAAGGAAAGAGGAUUAAAUCUUCUUCAGUGCGGGGAAUGCAUCGGCCUCAAACUUCAGAACAUAGAUUAUCUCCUCAAUACCCAAUUCUCAGAAAACAAAUCACUGACACACAUAGCAAGUCACUCGAUGCAAUGACUAGUUUUACUCCGAACUGCACGUGCAUAUAGCGUAUGUAUCCUUAUUCUUCAACUGGGGGUUUCAUGAAGCAAUGAGAAUUCUGAGGACAUUUUAAAUAUCUAAAAUAAAUUAGGUAAUUAUUUGCUCUGUGACCAAAGCAAGGACUUUGCGUUGCUCCCAACCUGGGUUUCACAGAUAACAUUGCAGCUGGUGGCCCAAAGCACACUGUGGCCGUAAAGAAAUGUUGCCACUCACUUUGCACCGAAUCUACAGAGCACACAUAUUUUUGCCUGUCAAGCAUUCAAGACUUUGAAAUGCUGCCCUAGUGUCAGAGCUCUGAAUUCCGUGGUACCAAUGGAAUUUUAUCACACAAAAUAAAGUUAGUUGUGGUCAAUGACUAGCGAGGAAAUACUGUGAGUCCCACGGAAAAAAAUAGAAUAAUAAAAAGUUUUUUAAAAAAACAGUCUUUUGGCCACUCUCAGGCUCUCUCCCUGUGGACCAAUUAACUGACACAUUCAGAUGCUGGCUGUCCUUCCUGUUUUCAGAACCACAGGCCCAAUUACUGGGCUCCGAACAGCCGCAUUUUAUAGCUGAAAUGAUUUACUGCCCGUGUUUUCAUUGCACAGUACGUGUUCCUCUUUGUUAAACAAAAAGUUCACAGAGAAGAACUGCAACUGAGGAGGAAGAAGGGGGUGGGGCAGAGACAUGCAAGCAAUAGAUCAGACUCAAAAGCCAAAUGCAAAUUAAGGAAAAAACCGCACCCUUUGGACUUCAGCCCGUAUUCUUUUGGAUUCUGUGCCAAAUGUGUAUUUAAAAACAUCCUGAAAUAACCCCAGUUUAGAAUUUAUUUUCUGCUUUUGUCAGAAGUGCUCUUCUGCCAUAGGCUCUGUUGAAUGAUAAACCUAAUGCAGUCACCAGAGGACCAAAAAACGAGCAAUCUAUUUUGCUAUUUUGUUGUAGUCAUGACCAACUCAGGUAGACUAUGAGAGACCCUUUUCUUGGUUUAAUACUCAGUCAUUUAAAAUAUUUGGAGUGAAGGGUGGAAAAAUAGGCCUCGAAUUUUAAUACAGAUGUGGACAAAGCCAUUAACCUGAGGAAGAGAGUUUACCUGCUCUAACAGAUUGGGACUAUGCGGUUGAAAUAAAUGAGGCAUCCACCUCUUCAAUGUGAUUGUACAAAACCACUCUUCCCUGACCUGUGUCUUAGAAAUGAAUAUUCUUUUGCAAGUCCUGUCUUGGGUAAUUGAGAAAUUAUCUGCAGUAAAAAGGAGAGAAUGGUACAGCUUUACCUGCUGUAAAACCUUUGUACUCAGUGGUUUUCAGUGAGGGGAGAGAGGGAUAUACCCUCCACCCCCUUGCCCCAGGAAUCAUUUGGCAACAUCUGGAGACACUGCUGGUGUUGCAACUAGAGUGAAGGGUGCUGAUAGCUACUGGGUAGAUGCCAGAGAUUUGGUUAAACACCCUACCAUGCACAGAACAGCCCCCCACAAUAGAGAAUUACCCAAUACAAAACAUCAAUAGUGAGGAGGUUGAGAAACCCCGCUUUACACUGUCAUGUGAAUUAAGGAUCAGGUCCUUUCCUAAGUUGAGCUAAGUAAGAACAGGUUUUGUAGAGAUUUAUCUCAUCUGAGAAGGUGCCUAGGGUGAGGAGGAAUUAAGAAAGGGGCAAGAGGUACCUCGGAGGGGAAAAAAGAAAACUAAAGAGGGCAGCAACUGGAGUUGAAUAAAAACCUCUCCGACAUUUCACUUGGGCUUUAAAACCAAUUACCUACUAGAGCCUUAUUAAUAAUCAGUCUUGUUACACCCUCAUCUCUUCUAAAAGAUGACCUGGCUCCAAUCCUGCUCCCACAGGUGUUCAAAUUCUCCAUUAACUUCUUCUUUAUGCAAGGAAACAAAUUUCCCUUCUUUUUCAUUUACCCUCUUGGGACUUCUUUCUGGACAUUUGCAUUCUAGGAUUUAGUUUUUGAUAUUCAGGACGGAAAAGAAGCCUUGUUUAUAAAAAACCUUUGGGUGUUAUAUUUCAAAGUCAAUUUCACAUUAUUCAUCUGAAUUUCUAAAUAUUUUGUCUAUGAUACCACACUGGAAGAGAGGUAUCGGCCAGCUUAAUAGAGAAUUCUCAUGAUAUAAAGGGUACGGUCUCUCUCGGUUCUUUAAAAGUACUGAUAUACAUCUCAAUCUAUCAGAUCAGUAUUUCCCAUCACGUUUCCUUAGAAGAGUAGUUUCUUGUAUGUUGUUCUGAAAGAGUCAUACACUCAAAUAAGACAACAGUGUUCCCCGGUGGCCUGGCAGUUUAGGGGUGGCAUUGCCAUUGCUGUGGCUCAGGCAUGGCCAAAAAAAAAAAAAUACCAGAUAAUAACAUUAUACUGAAAAUGAGUAGCUGAGUAUGGACUAUGAUCCUGGCACUUUACUGAGUGUUUUAGUACAUAUCUUUUGUCUCCACAAUAAGCCUUGAGUUGGGACUUGUUACUCCCAUUGCACAGAGAAGCAACUUGCACAAGUUUCAUGGCUAAGAGUGAGCCUAGGAUUUCAGUAAAAUCUAUCUAUAUUCAAAGCUGAUGCUCUUCAAUACUGUUAUCUACUAGUGGGUUAAAUGGUAAGUAGGAAUUCUUUACUGUAGACUUUCUGAGACCCUUUAAUAUGCCCUUUCUACUUGGAAGCUCUAAAUUCAUUUCCCAGUGUGAUUGGUCCCAGGCACCCUUUCAGCCGUGAAGCAGCCUGUGUGAUCUGCUCUCCACAGGACCUCUUCAGAACUACAUCACAUUCUCCUCCUAGGAGAAUUUGGAUAAAGGUCCACAGAGAAGUUCACACCAGUUAGUUGUUCACUGAGUCACUUAGUAACCUGAACCGGUGGUUCAGAGUCACCACUGAAAAGCCUUGUGAAGCAGGACAAGUGUCAUGGGGCUGAUGAGAGAAAAUAUAUUUUCUGAGAGCAGAGGCCCAAGAGAGCCAGGCUGUUCCUAGAGUUGCUUUUAUAAUUUAAAUCUAGUACAAUGUCUCCCUGUAAGCCUCAUGUUGAGGUCUUUACCAAUGAACAGCUGGAGAGCAUUAAAAGCUGUGUGAAUAUUUUUUUACACUCAAGAACAAAAGAUGUUAAACUGCCAAGGCAGCUUUGGUGACUUAUGAAGUGUCCUGCAUUAUGAGCAGUUUGGUUGAUGGCAAGAUUGGUUCAUAAAGGCCAAAAAUGAAGUGUUACUAUUGAAAGACUUUCCACAGCUCCAUGAUCACAUCAUUAGCUUGUUAUGCUUUGCAGAACUUUCCUCACUGUUCUUUUUUUUUUUUUUUUUUUUGCUUUUUAGGGCUGCAGAAAUAGCAUAUGGAACUUCCCAAGCUAGGGAUUGAAUCAGAGCUACAGCUGCCAACCACAGCAACUCAGGAUCCAAGCCGUGUCUGCAACCUAUACCACAGCUCAUGGCAAUGACGGAUCCUUAACCCGCUGAUCACAGCCAGGGAUAGAACCCGCAUCCUCAUGGAUACUAGUUGGAUUCAUUUCUGCCGCGCCAUGAUGGGAACUCCAUUAUUUACUUUUAUAGUCAAUACUUAAGGAAGUCAAGAGAAGAGAUAGCAAAAUAAAACAGAUGUGAAUUUGAUGUGAUUAUAUCAUACCCUCCAAAAGGAAGAACACUUUUAAAUUCAUAUUUUUUUUCCCUUGGAAUCAGUUGCAUCACUGAAUUUUUUCAAAUAUGUAAAAUAUUGAGCAGCUCUUGCCCAAAAAGAAUUACAUGAAGCCCACACAGGGCUUUGAACAUUCAUUUGCAUUUGAAUGAUGCAAAUUGUAAUUUGGUAUAAUAAAGUCUAUGUGACUGAGAGGGAGAAAUUAUAUGAACAAACAGAAUUCCAUUCAAGUCCUAGUUCUAAUCCCAACAUGCUAACUUCAAUGUACAUGUCCCAUCAGAGGUGUGUUUCUGUGAAAUGAAUAAUAUCCUUCCUAACCCUGCCACAUCUGCCUGGCUUAAUAGGAUCAACUUAUUGGUUAUUGCAGUCAUUUUUAUUGAAUGGAUUCUCAAGGAUUCCCCACGAACAGUAUAUGUUUCUGAGUCUUCUUUGGUACAACAGAUACAACCUUAUGGUGCUACAGUAAGAGUGAUUCUUUCUAAGAUAUGUUCAGGUUCUGAUGUGGAAUUAGCAUGGUAACAAAUCUGUUUUAUGAAAGAUUAUAUCUUUGCUGGAAAAACAAUAUUAAUCAUUUGACUAUCAGACCACAAACCGCUAUAAGCAUACUUCCUUAUUUUCAAAUACAAAGAGGAUAACAAUGUAAGAAAAGUUGUCUGCUCUUUCUGCAAAAUGGCUAAUUCAUGUAAUUUCUAAGCCUGAAUAUUACACUGUCGGGUAAGGGAGAUUAACGUGUAACCAUUUGAGAAGAACAUGAAGGGAAAAGGCCAUUUCUCAUCGCUGUGUGUGUGUUUGCUUUGUCACUAUAGCACUGCACUGUCCCCUUAAAGCUGAGCUUAGAUUUUGCAAAACAGUUUCCUAAAAAGUAUGACUUUUUUAGAUUUUUUUACAGACUCAUAGACUUCAGAGAAUCUUAGACGUUGUCUAUGAUCCCACGCUGCCUUCUCCAAUCAGGACUGACUUCUUCACUGAUGGGCAGUUAGACUGAUGGGGAGGCAGCUAAGGACGCUCUAAGGUAGUUACAUUCUGUGUUGAGCAUUUCUAUUCUUUGAGAGUGCCUCCAUGAGCAAAAGCAGAAUUGACUUCCAUAAAGUUCUUCAGUGCCCUCAGGAAGGGCAACACAGACUGAACCUAGCCCUUCUUUUAAAAGACUGAAAGGCACACCAGCCCUCUCUAAGAAAGGAUCUGUUCUUCCUAGAGCCAAACACGGCCAUUCAUCCAUCCAAGCAUUCCACGAGUGAUGGUGAGCAGUCUCAGGCAUCCUUGCCUCCUUUCUCUGACACUUCUUUACAACCUUCUCUGCUUCUACUCCCCCCAUCCCCACUUUCAUGUUUGGGUUGUCUCAUUUUCCUUUCCCUUGUCUUCUCAAACUACACCCUCCCAAGUGUCACAUGGAUGAAGACCACCAAUUCCGAAUCUCCGACGCAGAUUUCGCUUUUGAGCUCAGCUCCUAACUGAACCACACGAAUGUAUCAAAGGCAAGUCAAUCCCAAAAUGUGGCGGCAGCAUCUUUCCUCAGCAUUCCCUACCUCUAUCAAUGCUAUUUAUCAUCAUCCGAGGAAGACAUUUUGAGUCACAAUAAAUCCUCUCUCCCCCUCAAUAAAUGUCCCUUCCAAUAAAUGUACCUCCUAGAACCUGAACUCUGUUUCCUCUUCUCCAUCCCCUCCUACACCCCCGCAAUCCUGCUUCCAGUCUCACCUUACUGCCCUCAUGGUGGCCAGUGAACUGCCCAAAACACAAGCAUGUGCUUGUCACAUCCAUUCUAAGAAUUACAAAAAAAGAAACUGGAUCUAACAACACCCCGUUUCACAUCAUGCAAAAGCAACCCUUACUGGACCUGUUCUGUAGACAAAAACUAUUCAAAUAAAUCUUAUUCUUUUUUAGAAGAAGUUUGAUUUAAACAAAAGAAACAGUCAGAAAAGAAUUGCAGCUUUGGAAAACAUUUCCACACAACUCACCAGUUCUCAGCUGUGAUUUGACAAUAAACAUAUGGGAGGAAAUUACAGUACACGACAAAGAUUUAAGAGCCCCAUAAAAAUACCUGUAUAUUUAAAUGAGACAUUUUCCAGACUCUUGUACCUGGGUAGAAUCAAAGGACAUGUUGUGAGAGUCUUUCAGUUUUGAAGAAAGAAGUUAAUCUUCUAUCUCCCCCAUUAUUAAUAACUCCACAGAACUUUUACACCUUUCUACACACACAGAUUAUAGGAGGUUCCUGACAGAGUCCUCUAGUGGGGAUAAAUGCACAGAGGGAGAGGAAUUUGAAAGGAUUAUGAUUCAGUAGCAGAAACAACAUUUUUUACAUUUUUUUCAUGAGGCAGGUUAACUUCUAUAUCAUAUGAAUUGUCUCUGUCACAAAUAGUGUAACACUAGAAAUGAAAACGGAUUCUGUUAGUCCUCAGUCACUUUUAUGGAAAAGAGCAGAGUGAUUUAAUUACAUAUUCUCAGGAUCCUAAAAUUGACUCCCCCUUUCUUGGCUCUUACAAUUUUCAAUAAAUACACAACUUUGGACUUUCUUGACAAGUUCCCAAGCAAAAUAUUUCGGAUUUGUUCAUUUGUCUAAAUUUACUUAGAAAACAUAUUUAAAGGAUGAUGAUAGAAUGGACCCAUCCAGAUGAGUAGGCUGUCUUAAGUUCUUAAAUUUACUUACUUCUUUUUGACAAAAUUCACAGUGCAGUCUCAUUUGCAGUGGAGUAAAAUUAAGGGAAAAGUUCUCUUUUCAUAUUAAUAUUUUUUUAAUUGAAGCAUAGUUGAUUUACAAUUUGCAUUAGUUUUUUUUAUUAUUACUCUUUUUGACCUUGAAGAGUAAUGAACUGUGAAAAAAAUAAAACACUAAAUCAUUAACAAUAAAUAAUUCCAGUUAGGUCCCAGGCCUGAAGUCUGACUUUUCUCAUCUCAAAAGAACUGACAUAAACUCUAGAAAUAAAACUGGUUUUCUUGCAUGUUUAUAAGUGUUUAUGUAAGUGUGAAACAAUGAAUUUUCUUCUUCGUUUCCUUCAAAAACAGAAAUAUUUUGGUUUAGAUUUUCAUUUUUCAUUUCCUUCCAUGCUUUGGAAUCUUUUUAAGACACUGAUGCAAAUCUGCAAAGCCAUAGCUAGGUGUGGUCAGCAGCCUCUGAAUAAGUUUAUCCUUACUUGGUGGAGGUUUAAAAAAAAAAAAAAAAA
rnacentral:lncRNA from 1 species